GGCUGAUCCGAGUGCAAUGGUGUUUACAACUAAUCGAUCACAACCAGUUACAGAUAUCUUUGUUCCUUCUCCAUUCCCAUUGCUCUGCUUGACUAGCCUUAA
ensembl:misc_RNA Y_RNA Y RNA